CCGGGACCGGCGACGGACGGGUGAAGUAACGUACGUAUGCACCUGCCCUCUUCAGGGGGACAACCUUCCGAAAGGGAGGCUAAUCCCGCGUAUAUCGGUUUCGGGCAUCCGAGAUCGAGGAAAGAUUCAUCGGAAGAGGAUGGGCAUGCGGCGCAUUAGCUAGACGGCGGGGUAACGGCCCACCGUGGCGACGAUGCGUAGGGGUUCUGAGAGGAAGGUCCCCCACACUGGUACUGAGACACGGACCAGACUCCUACGGGAGGCAGCAG
rnacentral:rRNA from 1 species